rnacentral:rRNA from 1 species
UGAAUACGAGACGCUAAGGCGUCGAAGUAGUGUAUGUCAUACUUCCAAGAAAAGCUUGCACUGUCAUAGAUAAAAAACGCCUGUACCAUAACCGACACAGGUGGGUAGGUAGAGUAUACUAAGGGGCGCGAGAUAACUCUCUCUAAGGAACUCGGCAAAAUAACUCCGUAACUUCGGGAGAAGGAGUGCCUUAUUCGUAAGGUUGCAAUAACAAGAUCCAAGCAACUGUUUAUCAAAAACACAGGUCUCCGCUAAGUCGUAAGACGAUGUAUGGGGGCUGACGCCUGCCCAGUGCCAGAAGGUUAAAGAAGUUGGUUAGCAAUUGCGAAGCUGAUAACUGAAGCCCUGGUGAACGGCGGCCGUAACAAUAACGGUCCUAAGGUAGCGAAAUUCCUUGUCGGGUAAGUUCCGACCCGCACGAAAGGCGUAAUGAUUUGGAUACUGUCUCGGAGAGGGGCUCGGUGAAAUAGACUUGUCUGUGAAGAUGCGGACUACCUGCACCAGGACAGAAAGACCCUAUGAAGCUUUACUGUAACUUGAAAUUGAAAUUGGACUUUAUUCGCGCAGUAUAGGUGGGAGGCGUUGAUUAUAAUCUUGUGGGAUUAUUGGAGCCAUCAGUGAGAUACCACUCUUGUAAUGUUAGAUUUCUAACUUUGAAUCAUUAUCUGGUCAAAGAACAGUUUCAGGCGGGCAGUUUGACUGGGGCGGUCGCCUCCUAAACGGUAACGGAGGCGUACAAAGGUUUCCUCUGAACGGUUAGAAAUCGUAUCUAGAGUGUAAAGGCAUAAGGAAGCUUGACUGUGAGACCUACAAGUCGAGCAGGGACGAAAGUCGGUCUUAGUGAUCUGACGGUACUGAGUGGAAAGGCCGUCACUCAACGGAUAAAAGUUACUCUAAGGAUAACAGGCUGAUCUCCCCCAAGAGUUCACAUCGACGGGGAGGUUUGGCACCUCGAUGUCGGCUCAUCGCAUCCUGGGGCGGUAGUACGUCCCAAGGGUUGGGCUGUUCGCCCAUGAAAGCGGUACGCGAGCUGGGUUCAGAACGUCGUGAGACAGUUCGGUCCAUAUCCGGUGUAGGCGUUAGAAUAUUGAGAGGAGCCUUCUUUAGUACGAGAGGACCGAGAAGGACAUACCUCUGGUGUACCAGUUAUCGUGCCAACGGUAAACGCUGGGUAGCUAUGUAUGGAGUGGAUAACCGCUGAAAGCAUCUAAGUGGUAAGCCCACCUCAAGAUAAGUA